GGCUUCCACGUNCAUACAAUGGUCGGAACAGAGGGUUGCCAACCCGCGAGGGGGAGCUAAUCCCAGAAAACCGAUCGUAGUCCGGAUUGCACUCUGCAACUCGAGUGCAUGAAGCUGGAAUCGCUAGUAAUCGCGGAUCAGCAUGCCGCGGUGAAUACGUUCCCGGGUCUUGUACACACCGCCCGUCACACCAUGGGAGUGGGUUUUACCAGAAGUGGCUAGUCUAACCGCAAGGAGGACGGUCACCACGGUAGGAUUCAUGACUGGGGUGAAGUCGUAACAAGGUAGCCGUAUCGGAAGGUGCGGUUGGAUCACCUCC
rnacentral:rRNA from 1 species